CCUACGUGAGGCAGCAGUGGGGAAUAUUGCACAAUGGGGUAAACCCUGAUGCAGCGACGCCGCGUGAAGGAAGAAGUAUUUCGGUAUGUAAACUUCUAUCAGCAGGGAAGAAAAUGACGGUACCUGACUAAGAAGCCCCGGCUAACUACGUUCCAGCAGCCGCGGUAAUACGUAGGGGGCACGCGUUAUCCGGAUUUACUGGGUGUAAAGGGAGCGUAGGCGGUGUUGCAAGUCUGGAGUGAAAGCCCGUAGCUGAAACGCCGGACUGCUUUUUAAACUGUAUGGCUAGAGUGCAGGAGAGGUAAGUGGAAUUCCUAGUGUAGCGGUGAAAGGCGGAGAGAUUAGGAGGAACACCAGUGGCGAAGGCGGCUUACUGGACUGUAAAUGACGCUGAGGCUCGAAAGCGUGGGGAGCAAACAGGAUUAGAGACCCGUGGAGUC
rnacentral:rRNA from 1 species